rnacentral:rRNA from 1 species
AUUGAACGCUGGCGGCAGGCCUAACACAUGCAAGUCGAGCGAGCGGCGGACGGGUGAGUAAUGUAUGGGGACUGCCCGAUAGAGGGGGAUAACUACUGGAAACGGUGGCUAAUACCGCAUACUAUCGGAUAACCCAUAUGGGAUUAGCUAGUAGGUGGGGUAAAGGCUCACCUAGGCGACGAUCUCUAGCUGGUCUGAGAGGAUGAUCAGGCCCACUGGGACUUGGACACGGCCCAGACUCCUACGGAGGCAGCCGUUGGGAAUAAUUCACAAUUGGCGCAAGCCUGAUGCAGCCAUGCCGCGUGUAUGAAUAAGGCCUUUGGGUUUUAAAGUACUUUCAGCGGGGAGGCGUUACCCGCAGAAGAAGCACCGGCUAACUCCGUGCCAGCAGCCGCGGUUAAUUC